AUUGAACGCUGGCGGCAGGCCUAACACAUGCAAGUCGAGCGGAUGAAGAGAGCUUGCUCCUGGAUUCAGCGGCGGACGGGUGAGUAAUGCCUAGGAAUCUGCCUGGUAGUGGGUGAUAACGUCCGGAAACGGGCGCUAAUACCGCAUACGUCCUGAGGGAGAAAGUGGGGGAUCUUCGGACCUUAGGCUAUCGGAUGAGCCGAGGUCGGAUUAGCUAGUUGGUGGGGUAAAGGCCUACCAAGGCGACGAUCCGUAGCUGGUCUGAGAGGAUGAUCAGUCACACUGGAACUGAGACACGGUCCAGACUCCUACGGGAGGCAGCAGUGGGGAAUAUUGGACAAAGGGCGAAAGCCUGAUCCAGCCAUGCCGCGUGUGUGAAGAAGGUCUUCGGAUUGUAAAGCACUUUUAGUUGGGAGGAAGGGCAGUAAGUUAAUACCUUGCUGUUUUGACGUUACCAACAGAAUAAGCACCGGCUAACUUCGUG
rnacentral:rRNA from 1 species